rnacentral:snoRNA from 1 species
UGGCCUAUGAUGAUAAUUUUAACAAAAUACCAUCUUUCGGGACUGAAUGGCUUUCUAAGCCUUGAUGUCCGUCUGCAAAUCUGAGGCUC